rnacentral:rRNA from 1 species
CGGACGGGUGAGUAACGCGUGGGUAACCUGCCUUGCACUGGGGGAUAACACUUAGAAAUAGGUGCUAAUACCGCAUAAGCGCACGGUCCUGCAUGGGACAGUGUGAAAAACUCCGGUGGUGCAAGAUGGACCCGCGUCUGAUUAGCUGGUUGGCGGGGUAAAGGCCCACCAAGGCGACGAUCAGUAGCCGGCCUGAGAGGGUGGACGGCCACAUUGGGACUGAGACACGGCCCAGACUCCUACGGAAGGCAGCAG